UACGGGGGGAGCAAGCGUUGUUCGGAAUUACUGGGCGUAAAGCGCACGUAGGCGGACAUUUAAGUCAGGGGUGAAAUCCCAGAGCUCAACUCUGGAACUGCCUUUGAUACUGGGUGUCUAGAGUAUGGAAGAGGUGAGUGGAAUUCCGAGUGUAGAGGUGAAAUUCGUAGAUAUUCGGAGGAACACCAGUGGCGAAGGCGGCUCACUGGUCCAUUACUGACGCUGAGGUGCGAAAGCGUGGGGAGCAAACAGG
rnacentral:rRNA from 1 species